rnacentral:misc_RNA from 1 species
UGAGACCGAACUUGCUGUAAUCA